AGAUGCAACAUUUUUAAAGUUUCACAAAGCAUCCGGCUGCACCCAGGUCCCUGGAGCAGGAGACAAACAGAAUUAAUGUUUUAUACCUUCGGGACACUGUUACUGAACUUUGUGGGAAAUACCAAGUUCCAGAAGAUUGAAUACAUGCAGGAAACAAAUGCUUUUUGGGCCCUAGAGUGAACAUUUGGUCCAUAUGACAAUGACCAGAAAGACUAUUAGGUGAAGGUUUUUUAAUGAUUUGUGCUACAUUAGUCUCUUCCCAUAAGACAUAUUCAAAGUUUUAACUUUUCCUUAAGAGGCUUCCAUGGGGAGCAAGCAUUUGAUAAUUCAUCCUUUAACUAAGAAAAACACCAUCACACACUGCUUGAAGAAUUCCUCUUCUAUUACUUAAAAUGUUUUUACUGUGUAACAUUUAAGGCAUACAAAAACAUAUAAAGAAUACCAUGAUGAAAGUCUAUGACUAUAUUAUCAAGCUUAAGAAAUAAAACAGUUGAGUCAUCUUUCA